UAGGUAUAUGCUUAAUAUCAGAAGUUGUGAAAAUCUUCAGCCAUCUUACCUCCCUGAAGGGUGAUGGACACAUAAUGGGUCAGCAAAAGAAACUGCUGUUUACCAGAUGGAGUACACAAUCUAUUCCCAAGCUAUACUUCUCCCAAAUGAUAAUCUCCAAAGACUCUCAGUUUUUACAUUUGCAAGCAUCAAGGACAUCCAGGUCAUGGGAGUAUGAUGUAUUGUGAAUUUGGAAAUGUAAAUCCAAGAAUCCGUGCAUUCAAAGAUAACUACUGGAUUAGCUCGACCUGAUUCCAUCUUUUCCAAUGAAGUGUGAGACCAUCCUUAUGUUGUUUUUGAGGUUUUCCUUUGGUAAAUCUGCCUAAACUUAUUAGUUAUAACUUUUGAAUAUUUAAAUAAAUGUUUAAAAAGUGGUUAUAAGUUCUUGUAC
rnacentral:lncRNA from 1 species